rnacentral:rRNA from 1 species
UACAGAGGUCCCAAGCGUUGUUCGGAUUCACUGGGCGUAAAGGGGUGCGUAGGUGGCGGGGUAAGUCUGAUGUGAAAUCUCCGAGCUUAACUCGGAAACUGCAUCGGAUACUGCCUUGCUCGAGGGUUGGAGGGGGACUGGAAUACUUGGUGUAGCAGUGAAAUGCGUAGAUAUCAAGUGGAACACCAGUGGCGAAGGCGAGUCCCUGGACAACUCCUGACACUGAGGCACGAAAGCUAGGGGAGCAAACAGG